rnacentral:snRNA from 1 species
GUGCUUGCUUCAGCAGCACAUAUACUAAAAUUGGAAUGGUACAGAGAAGAUUAUCAUGGCCCCUGCACAAGGAUGAUAUGCAAAAUUCAUGAAGCGUUCCAAAUUAAA